rnacentral:rRNA from 1 species
UGGGGAUGACGUCAAGUCAUCAUGCCCCUUAUGUCCUGGGCUACACACGUGCUACGAAUGGACCGUGUACAGAGGGAUGCGAACCCGUGAGGGGGAGCGAUCCCAAAAGCAGGUCCAAGUUCGGAUCGCAGGCUGCAACCCGCCUGCGUGAAGUCGGAAUCGCUAGUAAUCGCGGGUCAGCAUACCGCGGUGAAUAACGUUCCCGGGCCCGUU